rnacentral:rRNA from 1 species
CCUACGGGUGGCUGCAGUGGGGAAUAUUGCACAAUGGGCGCAAGCCUGAUGCAGCCAUGCCGCGUGUGUGAAGAAGGCCUUCGGGUUGUAAAGCACUUUCAGCGGGGAGGAAGGCGUUAAGGUUAAUAACCUUGGCGAUUGACGUUACCCGCAGAAGAAGCACCGGCUAACUCCGUGCCAGCAACCGCGGUAAUACGGAGGGUGCAAGCGUUAAUCGGAAUUACUGGGCGUAAAGCGCACGCAGGCGGUCUGUCAAGUCGGAUGUGAAAUCCCCGGGCUCAACCUGGGAACUGCAUUCGAAACUGGCAGGCUAGAGUCUUGUAGAGGGGGGUAGAAUUCCAGGUGUAGCGGUGAAAUGCGUAGAGAUCUGGAGGAAUACCGGUGGCGAAGGCGGCCCCCUGGACAAAGACUGACGCUCAGGUGCAAAAGCGUGGGGAGCAAACAGGAUUAGAUACCCGGGUAGUC